rnacentral:rRNA from 1 species
CCUACGGGCGGCAGCAGUGGGGAAUAUUGCACAAUGGGGGAAACCCUGAUGCAGCGACGCCGCGUGAGUGAAGAAGUAUUUCGGUAUGUAAAGCUCUAUCAGCAGGGAAGAAAAUGACGGUACCUGAUUAAGAAGCCCCGGCUAACUACGUGCCAGCAGCCGCGGUAAUACGUAGGGGGCAAGCGUUAUCCGGAUUUACUGGGUGUAAAGGGGGCGUAGACGGCAGCACAAGUCUGGAGUGAAAUGCCGGGGCUUAACCCCGGAACUGCUUUGGAAACUGUGCAGCUAGAGGGCAGGAGAGGUAAGUGGAAUUCCUAGUGUAGCGGUGAAAUGCGUAGAUAUUAGGAGGAACACCAGUGGCGAAGGCGGCUUACUGGACUGUAACUGACGUUGAGGCUCGAAAGCGUGGGGAGCAAACAGGAUCAGAUACCCGUGUAGUC